rnacentral:rRNA from 1 species
UACGGAGGAUGCGAGCGUUAUCCGGAUUUAUUGGGUUUAAAGGGUGCGCAGGCGGGCUGUUAAGCCGGCGGUAAAAAUUCAGGGCUCAACCCCGGCCCGCCGUUGAAACUGGCAGUCUCGAGUUGGAGAGAAGUAUGCGGAAUGCGCGGUGUAGCGGUGAAAUGCAUAGAUAUCGCGCAGAACUCCGAUUGCGAAGGCAGCAUGCCGGCUCCACACUGACGCUGAGGCACGAAAGCGUGGGUAUCGAACAGG